CACUAGCUUCUACACUUCAUCCAUUGAUCAAAAUAGCUGUCAAUCGAAUCAAAGUUCCUCCCCUCGAAGACGCAAAACCAGAGGAUCCAGCCAAUGAAAAGAGCCAACUAAAAGAAAGCAGAGGCCUUACAAAAUGCAGUUACGAUGCAGUUCAAAAGAACAAUUUUAAAAGUGCUUCUGAACUGCAGCCACUAUAUACGCCAAACUUUUUCCAAAAAGUAAUUGUCUACGAAGAGAGGAGGAACGCCAGGAGGCUUUAGGAACUAAGAACGAAAGGGAAAAGUUGUUGAUUUUUGAAAGAACAUCAGUGUGAAACUGCCUCUGAGAUCCGGGUUGUCCGGAGUCCCUUCUCCUGACUGAAGGUCCGAGGGAAGACCCUGGGACAGGAGGGUGCCCGAGCACCCCACUUUCCACACGGAUGCCAGCAUGGAGCCUGGCUAGCCUGGCUCCCUCCAAAAAAGGUGAGGCGAGAGCGCUCCAGAUGGACCACAGGUGUUCCGAGCUCGGGCACGUUGGAAGCCAGGUGAAGGAGCACAUGUUCUGCAGCCCGGUGACACAAGAAGACAGACCUCGGGUACCCGGCCACCACAGAACCCAGACCGAGAAAACACAUUCAUUACUCACAAGCACCCACACAGCAUAACCUGCAAUGGCGCGUGCAGGACCUUGACUUUCUGCACAAAAACACAAACAAAUGAAAGAAAAACCCACAUGGGACUUAGCUACCUUACGGUGAACCCCGUGCCUGCCCCGCCCACCACCGGUCAGUCAGCUGGAAACCCACAAGCCCGAAGCUGCCAGCCCCGGAGGAAAAGGGAGGGGGCUCUGCUUGUUCUCUGCAGACACAGCCAAGCAGCCGGCUCUGGCGCCUAAAGCGGACAGCCAGUGGGGCGGGGAUGAACCCUGGUUUCAGUGAGAGGAAGGCUGGUCGCUAGAGGGACAGGUGUCCCUCCCCGAAACAGGUGUGGCUGGGGAACUGGGGGCAGAGAAGAGGCAAAAGGGACCCCCACUCACCUGCAUGAAACGCAGUUUCUCCAGCCUUUCCAUGAUGACUGGCAGCAAGACUGAAAGAAGCCAGGGAGAAGCCAGACCUGUAGGGCCCUCCCUCAGACCCCCCUCCACAGUCAGCUCGGGGCUGAGGGAUGCCCCUCCUCCCAGCAGUGUCGGAAAAGGCUUUUCAUUUGGGAGAAGAAUGAAGGCUGCAGGCAUGGCCACUCCGACUCGUCCCCCAAGUUCCAGCUGAAGAGCUUCCUAGAGCACAUCUGCAGUAACAGGACAGGUACCCCAGGCCCAAAGUGUCCUUCUCAAAACUGACCACUACCUUCGAAGGCUCAUGGAAGCAGACUGUUACCCUAUUCUGAACGUGCUCCUGCUGGAAGUACAACCAGGACCGGGGACUUACUUUCUCUACCACCGUCUCCCCAGCACCCCACAAUGCGUCCAGCAUGUUGAAGGUACUUAAGGAAUACAUGUUAAAUGAAAAGAACGUAAAAUGUCAGAUUAACAGACAUUCCAGGAACCACAGUGUGGUUCUCCUGUGGCUUUUGGCACUCAAACCAGGACAAGAAGCACGGCAAUAGGGGCUGGGGUCCCACCUCCCACCCAAAAGCUGGGUGUGGCUGUGGCCUCCAUCACGUGUUCCAGGGGCCCCAGGAGGGGAAGGCUUCCCCAUCUUACUCAUGCCAGGGGCCGCCAUGGUGAUCCGAGAAAUAACCACUUGGGUGAUGCCUAUGGCUGCAGCUCUCUGAAGGCAGAAAAGAGUAAGUUGUCAGGAAUGACCUUAACCAGUAUCCAGGGCUGGGUCAGGGUCAAGGUCAGGGUCAGGGUCAUAGCCAAAUCUGAGCUGGUAUAGGGAA